CUAGUAUUCCCUCCGUUCUAAAAUUUUUGUCUUAAAUUUGUCUAGAUAUGAAUGUAUCUAGUGACAUUUUAAUAUUUUGAUACAUUCAUUUCUAGAAAAAUCUAAGACAAAAUUUUUAAGACGGAGGGAGUACUUA
rnacentral:pre_miRNA from 1 species